rnacentral:rRNA from 1 species
CGUAGGUGCGAGCGUUGUCCGGAAUUACUGGGCGUAAAGAGCUCGUAGGUGGUUUGUCGCGUCGUCUGUGAAAUCCCGGGCUUAACUUCGGGCGUGCAGGCGAUACGGGCAAGCUGGAGUGCUGUAGGGGAGACUGGAAUUCCUGGUGUAGCGGUGGAAUGCGCAGAUAUUAGGAAGAACACCGAUGGCGAAGGCAGGUCUCUGGGCAGUAACUGACACUGAGGAGCGAAAGCAUGGGUAGCGAACAGGAUU